rnacentral:rRNA from 1 species
CCUACGGGAGGCAGCAGUGGUGAAUAUUGGGCAAUGGGCGCAAGCCUGACCCAGCAACGCCGCGUGAAGGAAGAAGGCUUUCUGGUUGUAAACUUCUUUUCUCAGGGACGAAGAAAGUGACGGUACCUGAGGAAUAAGCCACGGCUAACUACGUGCCAGCAGCCGCGGUAUUACGUAGGUGGCAAGCGUUAACCGGAUUUACUGGGUGUACAGGGCGUGUAGGCGGGGAAGCAAGUCAGAUGUGAAAACCACGGGCUCAACCUGUGGCCUGCAUUUGAAACUGGUUUGCUUGAGUACGGGAGAGGCAGACGGAAUGCCUGGUGUAGCGGGGAAAGGCGUAGAUAUUAGGAGGAACACCGGUGGCGAAGGCGGCCUGCUGGACUGCGACUGACGUUGAGGCCCGAAAGCGUGGGGAGCAAACAGGAUUAGAUACCCUAGUAGUC